rfam:Myotis brandtii contig222873, whole genome shotgun sequence.
GGCGGUUCUCAGGUCAUACACCCUGGAAUCGGGCUCCCUCCUCUCUGGUUCCAGGGUGCGUUACCCAAGAACCACU